AUUCAGUUGACGAGUCGAAAAUAGGACGAAACGCGCAUCAAACUGGAU
rnacentral:hammerhead_ribozyme from 1 species